GCCCGGCUGGCUCAAUGGUAGAGCGUUGGACUUCUAAUAUCCGCUUGCAUCAGUGAUGAGCAAUGGUGAGGAAGGCGAUCCAAAGGCUGCGGGUUCGAGUCCCGCGUUGGGUG
rfam:Magnaporthe poae ATCC 64411 unplaced genomic scaffold supercont1.12, whole genome shotgun sequence.